rnacentral:rRNA from 1 species
UACGGAGGGGGCUAACGUUGUUCGGAAUUACUGGGCGUAAAGCGCGUGUAGGCUGCUCCGAAAGUCGGAUGUGAAAGCCCUGGGCUCAACCUAGGAAGUGCACUCGAAACUUCGGAGCUGGAGUCCUGGAGAGGAAGGCGGAAUUCUCGGUGUAGAGGUGAAAUUCGUAGAUAUCGAGAGGAACACCGGUGGCGAAGGCGGCCUUCUGGACAGUGACUGACGCUGAGACGCGAAAGCGUGGGGAGCAAACAGG